rnacentral:lncRNA from 1 species
AGUCAUUCAAACCUGACUCCAUUAGGUGCUGCUCAUUGCCUUGGAGGCUGCUGCUCCUGUGUGUCAGAUCCACAGAGAUAUCCGAGUUCAGAAAUGAGUGGAAAAAUACCCAUGGUGGGCAGGAAGAGAAAUCCCCUUGCUAUAUUCCCAUUGUGAGCAGUGCCACCCUGUGGGAUAGAAGCACACCCAGUGCAAAGCACAUCCCUUGUUAUGAAAGAACUUCAGUACCCUGCUCCAGAUUCAUUAAUCACAUGAAGAAUUUCUCUGAAUCUCCUAAAUUUCGUAGUCUACACUUUCUGAAUUUUCCAGGAAGUCACCAUGGACAGGCCACACAGAAAUUACAGGGAGCUAUGGUUCUUCACCUUGAAGAAAAUGCUCUCCAUUCCCUUUGUGCCUGUAAACUCCUCCUGAUCCUCUCAAACUCAUCUCACAUGUGGCUUCCUCUGGAAGCACAGCCUUACCCCCCUCCUUUUCUGCAUUUCUGUAGUACUUAGGUCAUGUUUUCAGCACAGUGUCCACUAUGUUGUACUAUGUCACCACUCCUAGAAGCCCUUUCCUGCACUU